AUGCUCACUUCUGCAGCACACAUACUAAAAUUGGAACGAUACAAAGAAGAUUAGCAUGGCCCCUGUGCAAGGCUGACACUUUUUAAAAAUAAAGAAAAAGAAGACAUUCAU
rnacentral:snRNA from 1 species